rnacentral:rRNA from 1 species
CCCUGAAGGUGCUACACAUGCAGUCGAGCGAUUUACUUCGGUAAAGAGCGGCGGACGGGUGAGUAACGCGUGGGUAACCUGCCCUGUACACACGGAUAACAUACCGAAAGGUAUGCUAAUACGGGAUAAUAUGAUAUAGUCGCAUGGCUUUCUUAUCAAAGCUCCGGCGGUACAGGAUGGACCCGCGUCUGAUUAGCUAGUUGGUAAGGUAACGGCUUACCAAGGCGACGAUCAGUAGCCGACCUGAGAGGGUGAUCGGCCACAUUGGAACUGAGACACGGUCCAAACUCCUACGGGAGGCAGCAGUGGGGAAUAUUGCACAAUGGGCGAAAGCCUGAUGCAGCAACGCCGCGUGAGCGAUGAAGGCCUUCGGGUCGUAAAGCUCUGUCCUCAAGGAAGAUAAUGACGGUACUUGAGGAGGAAGCCCCGGCUAACUACGUGCCAGCAGCCGGGGUAAUACA